ACGGAAGGCAGCAGUGGGGAAUAUUGCACAAUGGGGGAAACCCUGAUGCAGCGACGCCGCGUGAGUGAAGAAGUAUUUCGGUAUGUAAAGCUCUAUCAGCAGGAAAGAAAAUGACGGUACCUGACUAAGAAGCCCCGGCUAACUACGUGCCAGCAGCCGCGGUAAUACGUAGGGGGCAAGCGUUAUCCGGAUUUACUGGGUGUAAAGGGAGCGUAGACGGCUUUGCAAGUCUGAAGUGAAAGCCCGGGGCUCAACCCCGGAACUGCUUUGGAAACUGUAGAGCUAGAGUGCAGGAGAGGUAAGUGGAAUUCCUAGUGUAGCGGUGAAAUGCGUAGAUAUUAGGAGGAACACCAGUGGCGAAGGCGGCUUACUGGACUGUAACUGACGUCGAGGCUCGAAGGCGUGGGGAGCAAACAGGAUUAGAUACCCUGGUA
rnacentral:rRNA from 1 species